GGCUCACCUAGGCGACGAUCCCUAGCUGGUCUGAGAGGAUGACCAGCCACACUGGAACUGAGACACGGUCCAGACUCCUACGGGAGGCAGCAGUGGGGAAUAUUGCACAAUGGGCGCAAGCCUGAUGCAGCCAUGCCGCGUGUGUGAAGAAGGCCUUCGGGUUGUAAAGCACUUUCAGCGGGGAGGAAGGCGUUAAGGUUAAUAACCUUGGCGAUUGACGUUACCCGCAGAAGAAGCACCGGCUAACUCCGUGCCAGCAGCCGCGGUAAUACGGAGGGUGCAAGCGUUAAUCGGAAUUACUGGGCGUAAAGCGCACGCAGGCGGUCUGUCAAGUCGGAUGUGAAAUCCCCGGGCUCAACCUGGGAACUGCAUUCGAAACUGGCAGGCUAGAGUCUUGUAGAGGGGGGUAGAAUUCCAGGUGUAGCGGUGAAAUGCGUAGAGAUCUGGAGGAAUACCGGUGGCGAAGGCGGCCCCCUGGACAAAGACUGACGCUCAGGUGCGAAAGCGUGGGGAGCAAACAGGAUUAGAUACCCUGGUAGUCCACGCCGUAAACGAUGUCGAUUUGGAGGUUGUGCCCUUGAGGCGUGGCUUCCGGAGCUAACGCGUUAAAUCGACCGCCUGGGGAGUACGGCCGCAAGGUUAAAACUCAAAUGAAUUGACGGGGGCCCGCACAAGCGGUGGAGCAUGUGGUUUAAUUCGAUGCAACGCGAAGAACCUUACCUGGUCUUGACAUCCACAGAACUUUCCAGAGAUGGAUUGGUGCCUUCGGGAACUGUGAGACAGGUGCUGCAUGGCUGUCGUCAGCUCGUGUUGUGAAAUGUUGGGUUAAGUCCCGCAACGAGCGCAACCCUUAUCCUUUGUUGCCAGCGGUUAGGCCGGGAACUCAAAGGAGACUGCCAGUGAUAAACUGGAGGAAGGUGGGGAUGACGUCAAGUCAUCAUGGCCCUUACGACCAGGGCUACACACGUGCUACAAUGGCAUAUACAAAGAGAAGCGACCUCGCGAGAGCAAGCGGACCUCAUAAAGUAUGUCGUAGUCCGGAUUGGAGUCUGCAACUCGACUCCAUGAAGUCGGAAUCGCUAGUAAUCGUAGAUCAGAAUGCUACGGUGAAUACGUUCCCGGGCCUUGUACACACCGCCCGUCACACCAUGGGAGUGGGUUGCAAAAGAAGUAGGUAGCUUAACCUUCGGGAGGGCGCUUACCACUUUGUGAUUCAUGACUGGGGUGAAGUCGUAACAAGGUAACCGUAGGGGAACCUGCGGUUG
rnacentral:rRNA from 1 species